GACUCCAUGUGAAGGCCCAAAAACUUCAGCAAGCAGCUUUCAAAGAAGCUGACUGGCUGCUCACCUUCCUCACCUUCAGGGAACCCGACAAUUCAGAGAUUUAUCCUCCGACCUCGAUUUUCGAGGUCAUCGAUAUGGUUUCGGAGGGCCCACACUUCUUGCUCCAGCAUCUGGAUCCGACUGGAUGAGUACUCCAUCGCAGCUUCCAAAGCCUUAGUUCGAACCUCCACCUCUUCCAGCCUCUCCCCGAGGCCCUGGAUCUCCUGCUCAGGCCUCUGCAGCAUGGAUGCAAUAGGUUGGACCUGGGCACGAAUCUCCCCAGGAAUUCCUCAAUGGCAGCCGUAACUUUCAAGAAUACAGGAGCUGCACUGGGACCACACGGGGGCGCUGUUCCGGCCUGGACCUGUGAGUUGCAAUCCGGAAGGCCUGCUCCACGCUUACCAGGCCUGACUUCAACGCUAACUGCAGGAACUUUGGGAGCCAUCCCUGCAGGAAGCCAACAAGAUUUUCACCUUCUUCACGUUUAGGGAGGCCCACGAUCCGUAAAUUUUUUCUUCUAUUUUUAGUUUCUAGAUUAUCGACUUGAUCCUGAAGGAUCCAAACCUGGUCUUCCAAUGUUCGGGCCCUUCAGUCCGAGACCUCUGCCAGGGUCUCCAAUGCCGUGGUCCUUCCCUCCACUGCCUCCAGUCUUCGUUUCAGGAGCUUGAUUUCCUGUUCAUGCUUUUUUUUUAGCCUGGCAGACAGUGGCUCCACUGCUACUUGAAUCCACUGUCAGAGUUUAGCAAACUCCGAGAGUAAGUACUGCUGUCCUGCUGGACCCGGAGGGGGCGUCUCAGGCAGCUGAGUACUGGCUGCAGGCACCACGACGCAGUAGGGGAGUGCCCUGUCUGCUGUGCUCCUUUAGGCCCCUUUCCUUUACCGGUCUUCAUCCUGGCCUGAAGGUGAAUCAGGUGAUUUCAGCUGCUCAAAAUAAUCAGGACAUAAUCAUUGGACAUGGGCAGCUUUACUGCUUUUACGAUGAACAGUGUUUAUUCCAACCAGGAACUGGUCCAACCUUCAUAUGAG